UACGAAGGGGGCUAGCGUUGCUCGGAAUCACUGGGCGUAAAGCGCACGUAGGCGGAUUGUUAAGUCAGGGGUGAAAUCCUGGAGCUCAACUCCAGAACUGCCUUUGAUACUGGCGAUCUCGAGUCCGGGAGAGGUGAGUGGAACUGCGAGUGUAGAGGUGAAAUUCGUAGAUAUUCGCAAGAACACCAGUGGCGAAGGCGGCUCACUGGCCCGGUACUGACGCUGAGGUGCGAAAGCUAGGGGAGCGAACAGG
rnacentral:rRNA from 1 species